UAGAAAACAACUCGUUUACGGUAGGCAA
rnacentral:piRNA from 1 species